rnacentral:rRNA from 1 species
UACGGGGGGGGCAAGCGUUGUUCGGAAUUACUGGGCGUAAAGGGCGCGUAGGCGGCCAACUAAGUCAGACGUGAAAUCCCUCGGCUUAACCGGGGAACUGCAUCUGAUACUGGAUGGCUUGAGUUCGGGAGAGGGAUGUGGAAUUCCAGGUGUAGCGGUGAAAUGCGUAGAUAUCUGGAGGAACACCGGUGGCGAAGGCGGCAUCCUGGACCGACACUGACGCUGAGGAGCGAAAGCCAGGGGAGCAAACGGG